rnacentral:tRNA from 2 species
GCUUUUAAAGGAAAACAGUCCAUCCG